rnacentral:lncRNA from 1 species
UUGACACUUUUACCUUAAUGUUACCCAUGGAAAAAAAUCAAUCAGCUGAAUUAGAUUUAUUUUUACAGGAAAAUGUAUAAUUAAAUUCAUGAAACCCCACUAUUAUAAGAAAUGAUAUAUCAAUCACGUGCAAUAUGGUGAAAUAAGAAUAGUUUUAACCUUAGGAUCAAAUAUUCGGUUCAAAUCUCAGCUUUACCACUUACAAACUUUGUAAACUUGGAUUUUAUUUAUGUGUUUAUUCAUUUAUUUUACCAUUUGAAGCAUCAGAUUAUAUAACAAUAAAAUUAAUAGUAAUUCAUAAUGUACAUAAUGGUUUGUAGAUUACAGAAUGGCAGUAAAAAAAAGUCUCACACAAUGAUUGGAGCAUAACAGAGAUUAAAUAACUCAUUUCUCCUUGUCUUCCCUUCCUCCACAAGUGAGUAGCUUACAUGUUUUCCAUUGUGAAUACCUGAUAAAUAUGUUUUUACUUGGUUUACUAAACAGUUAAAUACACACAGAUUGACCAAUUUCCUUUAAAAAAGUUGUAAAGGUAUUUUCACAGAUUAAAUUUAGAAAAAUGUUACCUUAAUUUUUUAAAUCAUCUUCUGACAUUUAGUCAAUAAUUCCUCUGUAUUGUCAGGAAUUGAAUGAAAUAAUAUAUUUCACAUAGUGCAUUGAAUGAAAUACAUAUGUAAUUAUUCAACUACAUGUUACUUAUUGAUACAUACUACAUUUUGUAAAUUAAAAAUUUACCUGAGAGCAAAAAAAACAAUAAACAAGAAUUCUUAUUACAACAUUUUUAUUAGUAGUAAAAACUUAAAAUAACCCAAAUAAAUGUACAAAAACAUACAAUCACAGAGAAAUAAUAUUAUUUUUCCCCUUAUUACUAAGCGGAGAAAAAAAUUCUAACAAAUUUUUGAUAGUAUGUAGAGAAUAGAAUCCAUUAUUGCAUUUUUGUAAAUAGUAAAAGAAUGAAAAUAUAUAUAGAUAUUAUGUGUAGAAAAAGGAAGAAAGGGAACUGAAAACAGUUAUUGGAAGGGGAAGGUGAUUAUGUGGGUCUUUCUCUUCCUGUAUUAUGUAGUUCUCUAAUGCUUAAACUUUGUAAUACAUUAUAUAUUAGGGUACAUAUUAAUAUUAUCCUUUGGAAAUAAUAUAACCUUCUGACUAAAAAUGAAGAAAAUAAUUUGAGAGC